rnacentral:lncRNA from 1 species
AAAACUCGAAAGACGUACAAAUAUGUCAUUAUAUCUAAUAUUUAUUAAUUGUCUUCUAAUAUAAUAACCUUGAAGCUCAACAGACAUUAGUACCUGCCAAAUUGGAUGGCCCCUUUGCAGGCUUUAACAAGCUCUCCUGUUAUGGAAAACAAAGAACAUGAUGAAAGGGAAAAAGAAAAAGAAAAAAGGUAGAAUAAUAAAGAGAAACAAUUGCUGAGAAGUUAAGGAUGUGUUAGAUUUUUAAAAAUUGAAUGUUCUUUAGAUUCAAAUUAGCUAUUGUUGACCAUGAUGAAUAUUGUAUAACAUGAGUUUGUUGGAUGGAUGCUAAUGGAAAUUGGAGAAUCUAAUGUUAGGAUUCCAGUUAGGAGAGUCAUAAUUGAGAGGGAUAUUCAUGUAAAACCUACCUAAGCCGACCCCUAUUAAAGAGGUGAAGAGACCGGCUAGGGUUAGGAGGUUGUUUCUUAGAGAAAAAUUAGGAGUUGUAAAGGAAUAUGAGUCUUGAGUAGUAGUCCUAUUAGGAGUUGGUUAGAAGUAGGAGUCUUGAAUAGGAGUUCUAUUAGGAGUUAGGGUUUAGAAGUCCUAUAAAUAGCCAUGUAUUUCUCAUCUUUUCAUAAGAAAUAGAUAAAUCUUUUCUGCAGCCUUUGAGCAGCAACUUGGAUGGAGGAACCCUUAUAGAGUUCCAAGGACGCUGAUCCCCUAAAGAGAUCAAUCCCAAGUUUAGAAUCUGUAAGGGUUCUAACACUUGGUAUUAGAACAACAUUCUUGGCGUUUCGCUGCCCUUCCACAGCCAUCCAUCAUCCCUCCACAAUCGCCCAAAGUAAUUCCCACAAUUGCUUAAAAGAUCGUCGCCAAAUUCUGCCGUCAUCUCCACCAUCGCAGAUCAUCCUUUGAUCUCCCCGUGAAUUGCAACAGGUUCUGGUUUCCUACCUUACUGCUGCUGCAAUUUAGUUAUCCUUAUUCGAAAAUCCAAAAAAAAAUUAUUCCUAUAUUGCUGCAUAAACUUUUCAUUGCAAAGUUUUUAUCUCUACGACGAAAGAUACAUUGCAUAAUUCUAGCCGCAUAGCACAGAUUGUUUAAUCUUGCUACUACGUUUUUUCUAUCCAAACCUCUACCAAAUUUUAAUGACAGCUUUGACACUUCCUAACAGUAGAUUUUCUUUUUGUUUUGUCAAAAAAUUCUCAAUAUAAACCAUUGAUCUUUUACGUCUAAUCUGCUAUACUUGAAAAUCUGCACUGUAAAAUUCCAGCCGCAUAGCACAGUUUGUUUGAUCUUGCUACUAUGUUUUUUCUGUCCAAAUAUCUAUGAAAUUUUUAUGAUAGCUUUGACACUUCCUAACAGUGGAUUUCCCUUUGGUUUCGUCGAAAAAUUCUUAAUAUAAACCACUGAUCUUUUACGUCCAAUCUGCUACAUUUGAAAAUCUGUGAUGCAGAAAAUUUCAGUCGCAUAUUGUUGCCUUAACCCAUCUAUUUGUAAUCUUUUUUGAAUGAAAUUUUUUAUACACUUCAUAGAUCAUCUUGGCUUCCAUCUAAGAUUGAUCUAUUAAGGAAUUCAUCUCUAAAAACGAUUUUGUGUUGCUGCAAAUUUUCGUCGUAAACCGUUGAAAUUUUUCGAUGAGAAUUCUGCCAUCGCAACAUGCACCAAUUUCCUUGCUGUUAUACUACCGAAAUUUUCUUGAUUAAAUUGGACAUCCUUGCUGUCAUAUAAAUUGAGAUUUUGCUGUCAAUUCCCUCCUCAAAUUUCUCAAGUUUUUGGUAGAAAUUUCAUCGAGAAAUCGUUGUUUCUUUGACGACAAUUAUGCUCUUACAAGACAACAUAUACCUGCAACAACUUUCAUUGAUUUCUAUCAAACCUUUGCUGCCAUCUACCACAGAUCUAAAACUUUUAUCCACAGCCCUAAAACUCCACUAAACCACACCCUCAAACUGCACCCAAAACAACCACAAAACAAGCCUAAACCGCAGCCUAUAUCCACCGAUCCACCAACCCCUUCGACCAUCACUUCUCUCAACCUAUACAUGCCUUUAACCCGGCAACGAAAGAGAGAUCUUAACAUCACAUAUUUGGAGGCAUAUACUAUGACGUCCGAGGAGGCAAUCAAUACUAAAUUUGAAGUCUUCGAGGCGCGAAUGAAGGAUAAGAUUCGGACGCUCUUUACCGAACUCAGAUUGGGCCGACCACUAAGCCCGAAGAAAUCACAUCAAGGAGAGAGCUUUGCCCAAUCGCACCAAGCCUGAAGAGAUGACUUUCAAGGGAGGGGAGGCUCUAUAACCGACCCCAACUAUCCACGCAUGAUGGUGGACUUCCCUAGAUGGGAAGGAGACCCGAUUGGUUGGAUCUUGCGCGCGGAGCGAUAUUUUCGAUACCAUAAAACCACGGACGUAUCUAUGAUGAAAAUUGCGGCUAUACAUCUUGAAGGGGAUGCCAUAUAAUGGUUUGACUGGUUUGAACACACUCAUGGAAUCUUCUCAUGGUGACAAUUCAAAGAAGGAUUGCUGAUCCGUUUCGGACCAACUGAUUACGAGAACAUUGACGGACAACUAGCAAAGAUUCGACAAACCUCCACUAUUUAGGAGUACCAAACCAGGUUUGAAAGGUUAUCUAAUUAAACUCGUGAUUGGUCUAAAAAACAGCUAUUGGGGACCUUCAUUGAGGGCUUGAAGUCGGAGAUCCGGGGAGAAGUUAAUGCACGACAACCGUACACGCUUAUGGCAGCCAUCUCUUUCGCACGACAUCAAGAGGAGCGAUUGAACCAUGAAGCUCGGAGGACUAGGGUCGCUCCUCGACUAGCAAUACUAAAGCCCUCAACCCCCCUUACUAUCGACCGAGUUCCUGCACUAAAGAGGUUGACAAGAGGAGCUUCGGGAGCGAUAUGCGAAGGGGUUAUGUUGGCAUUGCGACGAGCCGUGGAGCCGUGAGCAUCGCUGUAGUAAAAGGAGACUUCUUAUGAUUGAACCAGUAGAAGAAGAGGUCAUUGAACAUCCAGAAGAGAGUCUUGAACAUGAAGAAGGUGCAGAAGAAGAGCCAAAACCGAUCGAAGUUACGGUAUAUGCACUAGCCGGCUACUCAAACCCGCAAACGAUGAAAGUCGGAGGCCUUCUCAAACAACAACCGAUCACUGUUCUCAUCGACAUGGUGUCGCAGCCUUAGCUAGAAUUGCUAAGGCGUGAGGCACCCUUGCGGCCAAGACGCGAACUUAGCUUGCGUUGCCUAAGUCGCGAGGCACCCUUGCGGCAAAGACGCGAACUUAGCUUGCGUUGCCUAAGUCGUGCUUCGCCCUUGCGAUAUUGCUCCGCAAAGAUCAGCCCACUUGCAACCUCUCGCAGGUCCCAAAGGACCUGUAAAAGAGAAAGUUGAUUAGUUUGAAAGAACGAGUGACGGACAAGUCCCGACGUUUCGCGAAAAGAGGGGAAGCUUUACAAGCAAUUCAGCGAGCACCUUGCGUGCACAAGAGAAAAGAGGGAGAGGGGGAAAACAAGGACUUUAGAGGGUUGAACGAACAGUUGCAAGUCCACAAACAGCUGCUCACCGGGUGCCGGGCGCGACAACAAGUUCCCGUCAAGGUAAUGUGCGAACUUGCGAAAGGUUGUUCAACGCCCGACACUAUACCGAAGCCCCAUCCAGCCUUGUGCCACCCGGGGGGUUCAAAGGGGCUGAGAUGGCUGACGUUUUGGUGAGCGGAGGCGGGCUAUAGAAAACAGCCCGCGGCACACGAAAACAAAGUUGUUUUAGGGCUGUUUUGCUAGGUUCGGUGAGCGGUCGCUUUGUAACGCUGCAACUUGUUCGAACUUACAUUUUUACAAGCAAAAUGACUUAAAACCAAGGCAAAACAGGCUGCCAAGUAGUUGUACAUGUAGAUGAGAGCGACGAACGGUUCGUUGAACGGAGUUGUUGCGGGUGCGCGACGACCGUUCGUGACAUUCUCCCCCACUUGAACCGUCGACGCCCUCGUCGACGCUUGUUUGUAGUUGUUGAUGAUUGCUUCUUCAUGUCGUAGGGCGUCUUCAGGCUCCCAACUUGCUUCAGUUCGGGGAAGCUUUCGCCACUUCACCAAGUACUCUGUUUGCUAUGCUCCAUUGGGUAGCUUUAUUUUGCGGUCCGCCAGAAUGGCUUCAACUCGCUUCUCGUAGGAGACUGUGAUGGGAGGUAGCUGAGUUGGAACACUUCGGGAAGCAUCUUGCAGAUCCGAGUGGUAGGCUUUUAGGUUGUUGGCGUGAAGAACGUUGUGAAUUUUGAACCACGCCGGCAGCUGUAACUUGUAAGAGACGUUGCCUACCCUGUUGAUAAUUGGGAAGGGCUCUUCGUACUUGCGCACCGAUCCUUUGUGGACUUUGUUCCUAAAGAAUUUGAGUGAUGCUGGUUGGAGCUUUACCAACACCAAAUCGCCAACCUUGAACUCUUGCAGUCGCCUUCCCAAGUCUGCUCACUUCUUCAUCCUUUUUGCCGCCUUCUCCAAGUAAGCCCGCGCAAUAUCUGCAUUUUGGUGCCACUCCUUUGCGAAGUGGUGGGCUGACGGACUACUCCCAGUAUACCCAAUUGCCAUGGUGUGAGGAGUUGUUAGUUGUUGUCCGGUAAUGAUCUCGAAGGGGCUCUUGUUGGAUACAGAGCUCCGCUACAAGUUGUAGGAGAAUUGGGCAAUGUCCAACAGCUUCACCUAAUCUCGUUGGUUGGCACUCACGUAGUGCCGGAGAUAUUGCUCCAGGAGCGAGUUUAUCCUCUCAGUUUGGCCAUCUGUCUGGGAGUGGAGACUUAUGGAGAAGUAUAAUUUGGAUCCCAACAAUUUGAAUAACUCGGUCUAGAAUCGUCCCAAGAAUCGAGCAUCCCGAUCACUGAUGAUAUUGUGCGGGACUCCCCAAUACUUCACCACAUCCUUCAUCAUUAGCUUGGCCGCCUCCUCUGCUGAACAGUGUAGGGGAGCAGCAAUGAAAGUUGUAUACUUUGAAAAUCGAUCGAUUACCACGAGUAUCAAUUCGAGUCUCCCUACUAGUGGCAAGCUCGAUAUGAAGUCUAAGGAAAUGCUCUCGCACGACCUUUCUGGUACGGGCAACGGCUCCAAAAGUUCCACCGGCUUCCACUGCUCCGCCUUGUCUUGUUGGCAAGUGAGGCAUGUUCGAAUAUAUUCCUCCACAUAAGUCCCCAUCUUCGGCCAAUAGAAGGCCCUCUCCACAAGAGCCAACGUUAGAUGAAUACCUGGGUGUCUAGCCCAAAGGGAAUCGUGACACUCUCUUAAGAGUUCACGCCUCAAAUUAUCCACUCGAGGAACAUAAACCCGAUUCCCUUUUGUGUACACGAGUCCCUCCUGGACCCAAAAUCGUCGUGCCUUGCCUUCUUUGAUGAGCUGCAUUAGGAGAACUGCCUGGGGAUCACCAUACAGUCCAUCCUUGAUCCUGGAAAGGAAGUUGGAGUGCAAUUGACUUGCUUGGCCUCCGCCCUCCAAUUGUACGACAUUCACGCGCUCCACUUUCCGACUCAAUGCAUCGGCCACGACAUUUGCCUUCCCAGGCUUAUACUUCAUUGCCAUAUCAAAUUCAGCCAAGAAGUCCUGCCACCGUGCUUGUUUUGGGGAAAGUUUCUUCUGUGUUUGGAAAUAGCUCAAAGCGAUGUUGUCUAUCCUCAGCACAAAUCGCGAUCCGAGAAGGUAGUGUCGCCAAACUCGUAGACAGUGGAUCAACGCUGUCAUCUCCUUCUCGUGCACUAGAUAUCGCCGCUCGGUCUCGUUGAGCUUGCGGCUCUCGUAGGCCACCGGAUGACCUUCUUGCAUGAGUACUCCCCCAAUAGCGAAGUCCGAAGCAUCUGUAUGGACUUCAAAAGGCUCCCCAUAGUCUGGCAAUUUGAGCACUGGUUCUUCCAUAACAACAGCCUUCAGAUCUUGGAAUGUUAUUUCACAUUUGUCCGACCACUUCCAAGGCUGCUCCUUCAGUAACUCCGUUAGUGGAGUUGCACGCUUCGAGUACCCCGCUAUGAAGCGUCGAUAGUAGUUGACGAAACCAAGGAUCUCAACUCUGGCACCUUCUUUGGAGUUCGCCAUUCCGCAACCGCUUGCACUUUUGAUUUGUCCAUGCGAAUGGAACCAUCACUGAUUCGAUGCCCCAAGAAUAAGAUCUCCGUUUGGGCGAAGUAGCAUUUCUCCUUUUUUACGAACAAAGUGUUCUCCCUGAGAACCUUGAAAAUUGUUCGAAGGUACUAAACAUGCUCCUCGAGCGUUUGGCUGUAUACGACAAUAUCGUCUAAGUAGACGACCACGAACUUGUCCAAAUACUCCUUGAAUAGUUGGUUCAUGAGAGUGCAGAACGUGGCCUGAGCGUUGGUUAAGCCAAAAGGCAUCAUCAAGAACUCAAACGCUCCAUACCUGGUCACACAAGUAGUCUUCGGUUCGUCGCCUUCAGUAAUGCGCACAUGCCAAUACCCCGACCGAAGGUCGAGUUUCGAGAAAUACUUGGCUUUGCCUAACUGGUCGAACAAGUCCGCGAUGAGCGGGAUGGGAUACUUGUUCUUCACUGUCACUUUGUUAAGGGCUCGGUAAUCGACGCAUAGUCGGAGGCUGCCAUCUUGUUUCUUCUGGAAGAGAACUAGAGCUUUGAAAGGUGAUUUAGAGCUACGGAUGAGACCACCGCUUAGCAGUUCACCUAACUGCUUUCUGAGUUCUGCCAACUCUGGCGGGGACAUGCGGUAGGGUGGUCUCGCUGGAGGUUUCACUCCUGGCUCCAGCUCGAUGCUGUGAUCCACGCCUCUGCGUGGUGGAAGAGUCUUUGGCAACUUAGGUGGCAUGACGUCAUUGAACUCUUUCAGGACGUUCACCACCACAGCAGGUUCUUGAAUGGCCUUCUCGUCAAGUGGCUCUAGCUUCAUAGUAGCCACGAAUGUUAAUUCACCUUUUCGCACCCCUUUAUUCAGUUGUAAUGUCGAUAUGUGUUGGGGCUCCCUGGUUCCUCUCCGAGACACAAGGACCACGCAGGGGUCGUCACCUCGCAUCAUACACAGGGAGUUCAAGAACGGCAUUGGCACCAACUUUGUUGCGUGCAUGAACUCCAUUCCAAGAAUCACUUGGAAGUCAUCCAGUGGCACUACCAUCAUGUUGGUGUUCCCGCUCCAUGUCCCGAUUUUGAUGGGAACUCCCUUCGCCAACCCGGAGAUUCGCUUGGCCUCCGAGUUCACUGCCUUCAUUCGGCUUGGGCUCUUCUCCAAGAUCAACCCAAGUUGCUUUGCUUCUCGAUCGGCUAUGAAGUUGUGGGUAGCGCCCGUGUCCACCAUUGCACGGGUCGUUUGGCCAUUUAGCUUGAUGUCCACAUACAUCAGCUCUCUACUUCCUGCUUUUUGUAGCUUUGUCUUCAUGUUCUCCCCCACUUGACCCCGCAUGGCGUUCAAAAAACGCAUUGCUCCCAUCCGAGGUCCUUGCGACUCCUCGUCGUCGCUGUUGGAUUCAGAACUACUCGAACUAAGAGCAACAACUUUGCCCUUGUUCGAUCGGGGGGCCAACAACAACAACAAGCAAAAUGACUCAAAACCAAGGUAAAACAGGCUGCCAAGUAGCUGUACAUGUAGAUGAGAGCGACGAACGGUUCGUUGAAUGGAGUUGUUGCGGGUGCGCGAUGACCGUUCGUGACAACGGGCAGUACUAAUAACUUCCUAAAUAGUAAGGUUGCUGUCCGAAUGGCUUUACCUAUCGAGAAUUGCAGCAUGUUUGACGUUAAGGUCGCCUACGGAUGGAUUUUAAAGUAUGAUCGUAGGCGCUCGCGAGUGAAACUAUUGUUGUAGGACCAAGAGAUAAUUGCAUAUUUCUUCCUCCCUCUUGAUGAUUAUGAGGCCAUGCUCAGAAUUAAAUGGGUGACGACAUUAGGUGAUGUUUCUUGGAAUUUUAUGCAACUAAUUAUGAAAUUUUACAGUAAGGAGAAACAGGUGAUAUUGCACGGGAAACGUGGGGGCGACGUAACGACAAUUUGCACACAACAAAUGGAGAAGGUUUUGCAUAAAACAUGCAACGGUUUUUUGGUACAACUUGAGUAGCAAUCUAAGGGAGAGCUAAUAGAGUUUGAAGAUCCAAACCUACUUCCUUUGCUUGCUGAAUUUUCAGAUAUAUUUGACGAAUCGCACAACCUACCUCUUAUCCGUCAGCAUGAUCAUUAUAUAACGAUUCUUCUAGGAGUUAUUCGGCCAAGUUGCAGUCGCUACUCUUCAUCGGUGCUACUUGUACACAAGGAUGAAACAUGGCGAAUAUGCGUUGAUUAUCGAGCUCUCAAUGGCAUAACCAUCAAUGAUAAAUAUCCUAUUCCAGUAGUAGAUGAAUUGCUAGAUGAAAGGGAGCACAAAUCUUCACAAAGCCUUCGAUCCGGGUAUCAUCAAAUACGAGUGUGUGAAAAAGACAUUUUAAAAAUCGCCUUUUGAACACACAAUGGCCACUACGAAUUUUUACUUUCUUCAACAAAAGAUGGAAUAUCUUGGGCAUAUCAUAUCAGAGAAAGGUGUGAUGGUGGACCCCUCCUAUAUAGAAGCAAUGUAGAACUGAUCGACCCUGAGAAACAUAAAAUUGCUACGUGGCUUUCUGGGUUUAACAGGCUACUACCGCAAGUUCGUAAAAAACUAUGGAAAGAUCAGUGCACCACUUCCUUACUUAAAAAAGAUGUCUUUCAAUGGUCAGACAAAGCCUCCGCUGCCUUCGACAAACUUAAGGCAGCUAUGACGAUGACGUCGGUGCUAGCACUACCAGAUUUCAGCCGACCCUUCAUUAUUGAGGCCGACGCUUCUGGAGUCGGAAUUGGAGCUAUUCUCAUGCAAGAUGGUCGACCACUCGCAUACACUAGCAAGGCAUUGUCUCCCUCCCAUCAAAAUAUGUCAACAUGUGAUAAGGAGAUGCUCGUCAUUGUGCACGUAGCAACGAGGUGGAGACCCUACUUGAUCGGUCGAUGAUUUCAAAUUAAAAUUGACUAUAAAAGUCUCAAGUACUUUUUGGAGCAAAAGAUAUCAUCCCCUGAGCAGCAAAAAUGGGUAAUAAAACUUCUUGGAUUUGAUUAUAAAAUAACUUACAAAAAGGGGAAAGAGAAUGUUGUUGCAGAUGCGCUUUCGCAACUACCUAAGCAAGCUGAAUUUUCGAUCGUUUCACUUCCGACCAGUGACUUCCUUGAGGAUAUUAAGAUGGAAUGACAGGAAGAUUCGGAGACCAGUAAGAUCAUAAAAAAAUUGGAGGAAGCACCAAGCUCUGUGGCUCAUUACAAUUGGGACUCAAAAGAAUUACACUAUAAGGGACGCAUUGUACUUGUGACAAAUUCUACUUGCAUCUUCACGAGCAGAUUUUGGACAAAGUUAUUCCAUAUGCAGGGUACUAAAUUGAAAAGGAGUAUGGCAUAUCACGCACAAACCGACGGCCAGACGGAAAUUGUAAAUAGGUGCUUGGAGACAGCCCAAAGCCACCCACCAAAUAUGACCACCCAAGGAGAGCUCCAGACCCAGCCAAGUGCCAUUAUCGAUCGACGGAUCGUGAUUUGACGACGACGACCCACUACUGAAGUGCUAAUACAGUAGGUGAACCUACCGACAAAAGAUACCACUUGGGAGAACUAUGACGACUUGAAGAUCAAAUUCUCAGAAUUCAUGAAUUGUCAGCCUCAAGGAGAAGACUGAUUUGAAGAGAGCGGGUCUGUUAGGACUCCAGCUAGGAGAGUCCUAAUUGAGAGGGACAUUUAUGUAAAAUCUACCUAAGCCGAACCCUAUUAAAGAGGUGAAGAGGUCGACUAGGGUUAGGAGGUUGUUUCUUAGAGAAGAAUUAGGAGUUGUAAAGGAAUAAGAGUCUUAGUAGGAGUCCUAUUAGAAGUUGGUUAGAAGUAGGAGUCUUGAGUAGGAGUCAUAUUAGGAGUUAGGGUUUAGAAGCCCUAUAAAUAGCCAUGUAUUCAUCCUCUUUUCAUAAGCAAUAAAUAAAUCUUUUCUGCAGCCUUUGAGCAGCAACUUGGAGGGAGGAACCCCUAUAGAGUUCCAAGGAGGCCUAUCCCCUAAAGAGAUCAACCUCAAGUUUAGAAUCUGUAAGGGUUCUAACAUCUAACUAUUUAGUAAAGUGGUUCUAACAUCUAACUCUUAGUAUUCUCUAUGUGAUUCUGCAUCUUUGUUUUGCUAUUUUUUUCCUCACCGCUGUUGGAACAUUUCUUUUAAAAUCUUUUUGUUAUAUUUGUUACUUCUUGUUUUCUCUUUCUCCCUUGUUUGUAUCAGAGCCGUAAUGACUAGGGCAUACUUCAUUCCGUUCACUACAGAUGCUCUUUUGUGUCAUUUUUUCCUCUUUGGUGUAUGCAAUCUUUGGUGUGCCAUUUUAUUAGUUUGAAGGACAUUUAGUUAAUGGACUUUGAUAUUGACUCACAAAUAUCCAUAGCUAUUGCUGUGAAUUGAACCAUUUGAUCAGUUUGCUCUGAUGACAAAGAAUGAAUUUCUGGAUGGCUUUGUUGGAAGCUUAGAGCUUUUUUGCUUGCUUUAUUGUAAUAUGCAUGCGGAUAAACUGCAAAUCUGUUAUACUUAUUAGCUGUAAUGGAUGAAUGGACGUGAAGUUAAGUGUUGGUUGAAGGUAGAAUGCAGUAUCUUGUGAUUAUUGAGUAUGAACAGUAGAAACACAAGUUCUAAUCAAUUUGGCAACUUCUGCUGGUAACGUUUCAUUAUUGUUUUCAAGGUAGUUUGAACAAGCUUUUAUGAUGCACUUUUCAAAACGUGUGUUGAUUGUGUAUAUUUAUUUAUUUUUAAAUGAGCUUUUGGAAUUUUUUGGAUAUUUUGUCAUCUAAGAGCUCACAUGAUUGUUCUUGCAAAU